UUCCCUAUCCCACGUCGAUCUCUUCUCCUUCUUUUCUUUCUUCUCUAUAUUGACAUUUGGUCCCUCAAUUUUUCUUAUUUUCCAUUUAGUCCCUCAACUUUAUUAAUUACUAAAAAUUUCGCCUUGUAAAAUUUUCGUUUAAUCCUCCAACUAUUUUUUAGCUUUUCAAUUAAGCCCCUAGCUACUUAAUUUGGGCCAAAUUAAAAU
rnacentral:lncRNA from 1 species